GAAAAGAAGGAUUAGCGGCGGACGGGUGAGUAACACGUGAAUAACCUACCUUUGACACAGGGAUAGCCUCGGGAAACUGGGAUUAAUACCAGAUGAUAUAUCUUCAUCACAUGAUAAAGAUAUUAAAGCGAUUUAGCGGUCAAAGAUGGAUUCGCGUCUGAUUAGCUAGUUGGUGAGAUAAAAGCUCACCAAGGCAACGAUCAGUAACCGGCCUGAGAGGGUGAACGGUCACAUUGGAACUGAGACACGGUCCAAACUCCUACGGGAGGCGGCAGUGGGGAAUAUUGCACAAUGGAGGAAACUCUGAUGCAGCGACGCCGCGUGAGCGAUGAAGGUUUUCGAAUCGUAAAGCUCUGUCCCAUGGGAAGAUAAUGACGGUACCAUGGGAGGAAGCCCCGGCUAACUACGUGCCAGCAGCCGCGGUAAUACGUAGGGGGCUAGCGUUGUCCGGAAUUACUGGGCGUAAAGGGUUCGCAGGCGGAAAUACAAGUCAGGUGUAAAAGGCGGAGGCUUAACCUCCGUAAGCAUUUGAAACUGUAUUUCUUGAGAUAUGGAGAGGCAAGUGGAAUUCCUAGUGUAGCGGUGAAAUGCGUAGAUAUUAGGAGGAAUACCAGUGGCGAAGGCGACUUGCUGGACAUAUACUGACGCUGAGGAACGAAAGCAUGGGUAGCAAACAGGAUUAGAUACCCUGGUAGUCCAUGCUGUAAACCAUAAGUGCUAGGUGUCGGGGGUGACCUCGAUGCAGUAGUUAACACAAUAAACACUCCGCCUGGGGAGUACGUGCGCAAGCAUGAAACUCAAAGGAAUUGACGGGGACCCGCACAAGCAGCGGAGCAAUGUGGUUUAAUUCGAAGCAACGCGAAGAACCUUACCAGGACUUGACAUAAUAUUGACCGGUAUAGAGAUAUACCUUUCUCUUCGGAGACAGUAUUACAGGUGGUGCAUGGUUGUCGUCAGCUCGUGUCGUGAGAUGUUGGGUUAAGUCCCGCAACGAGCGCAACCCUUAUCUUUAGUUGCCAGCACGUAAUGGUGGGAACUCUAAAGAGACUGCCGUCGAUAAGACGGAGGAAGGUGGGGAUGACGUCAAAUCAUCAUGCCCUUUAUGUCCUGGGCUACACACGUGCUACAAUGGUUGGAACAAAGAGAAGCUAAACAGCAAUGUCAUGCAAAUCUCAUAAAGCCAAUCUCAGUUCGGAUUGUAGGCUGCAACUCGCCUACAUGAAGUCGGAGUUGCUAGUAAUCGCAGAUCAGAAUGCUGCGGUGAAUGCAAAGCCGGGUCUUGUAC
rnacentral:rRNA from 1 species